UUGUCCUACGGGGCACAGCAGUAGGGAAUCUUCCACAAUGGGCGAAAGCCUGAUGGAGCAACGCCGCGUGGGUGAAGAAGGUCUUCGGAUCGUAAAACCCUGUUGUUAGAGAAGAAAGUGCGUGAGAGUAACUGUUCACGUUUCGACGGUAUCUAACCAGAAAGCCACGGCUAACUACGUGCCAGCAGCCGCGGUAAUACGUAGGUGGCAAGCGUUAUCCGGAUUUAUUGGGCGUAUAGGGAACGCAGGCGGUCUUCUAAGUCU
rnacentral:rRNA from 1 species